rnacentral:rRNA from 1 species
GAUUGCCUCAGUAGCGGCGAGUGAAGCGGCAAGAGCUCAGAUUUGAAAUCGUGUUUCGGCACGAGUUGUAGAGUGUAGGUGGGAGUCUCUGCGGAGCACAGUGUCCAAGUCCCUUGGAACAGGGCGCCUGAGAGGGUGAGAGCCCCGUGGGUGCUGUGCGAAGCUUUGAGGCCCUGCUGACGAGUCGAGUUGUUUGGGAAUGCAGCUCUAAGUGGGUGGUAAAUUCCAUCUAAGGCUAAAUAUUGGCGAGAGACCGAUAGCGAACAAGUACUGUGAAGGAAAGAUGAAAAGCACUUUGAAAAGAGAGUGAAACAGCACGUGAAAUUGUUGAAAGGGAAGGGUAUUGGGCCCGACAUGGGGAGUGCGCACCGUUGCCUCUUGUAGGCGGCGCUCUGGGCGCUCUCUGGGCCAGCAUCGGUUCCUGCUGCGAGAGAAUGGGUGCCGGAAAGUGGCUCUUCGGAGUGUUAUAGCCGGCGCCAGAUGUCGCGUGUGGGGACCGAGGACUGCGGCUUCUGUCUCGGAUGCU